GUGUGAGGCAGUUUGGCUGAUAUUUGAUACCCCCAUUAGCUGCUGGGACCAAUUCGGCUUGUCUGGCUAGUGAGUUCUGGUGUCCCCUUCGCCUCUCAUGCUUGUUGGUGGGAGAAGACAGCCUUCUUUCUGCCAAGAGUAUGUGAGCAGCUGUGCCCCCAUGCUAGAACCUUCAAACAAGCUUUCAAAGGCCACCACUGGGUAGGAAGCCAAGCUUUCAAAACUCCAGCCUCAUCCAAAUGAGGCCCUGCACAGGGUAGUCUCCGUUUGUUU
ensembl:misc_RNA 7SK 7SK RNA